UGCCCUACGGGACGCAGCAGUCGGGAAUAUUGCGCAAUGGAGGAAACUCUGACGCAGUGACGCCGCGUAUAGGAAGAAGGUUUUCGGAUUGUAAACUAUUGUCGUGAGGGAAGAAGAUGACAGUACCUCAGGAGGAAGCUCCGGCUAACUACGUGCCAGCAGCCGCGGUAAUACGUAGGGAGCGAGCGUUAUCCGGAAUUAUUGGGUGUAAAGGGUGCGUAGACGGGAAAGCAAGUUAGUUGUGGAAUCCCUCGGCUUAACUGAGGAACUGCAACUAAAACUACUUUUCUUGAGUGCAGGAGAGG
rnacentral:rRNA from 1 species